CCUACGGGAGGCAGCAGUGGGGGAUAUUGCACAAUGGGGGGAAGCCUGAUGCAGCGAAGCCGCGUGGAGGAAGAAGCGCCUCGGCGCGGAAAGCCCUGUCAGCAGGGAAGAAAAUGACGGUACCUGAAGAAGAAGCCCCGGCCAACUACGGGCCAGCAGCCGCGGUAAUACGUAGGGGGCAAGCGUUAUCCGGAUUUACUGGGUGUAAAGGGGGCGCAGACGGCGAUGCAAGCCAGGAGUGAAAGCCCGGGGCCAAACCCCGGGACUGCCCGUGGAACUGCGUGGCUGGAGUGCAGGAGGGGCAGGCGGAAUUCCUGGUGUAGCGGUGAAAUGCAUAGAUAUCACGCAGAACUCCGAUUGCGAAGGCAGCAUACCGGCGCCCAACUGACGCUGAAGCACGAAAGCGUGGGUAUCGAACAGGAUUAAAUACCCGUGUAGUC
rnacentral:rRNA from 1 species